GCCCUCGUGGCGCAAUCGGUCGCGCGUCCCCCUCCUAAGGGGAAGGUUGCAGGUUCAAGUCCUGCCGGGGGUG